UGUUUUUUAUAAUAAGUAUUUUCUGCCCGGUGUUUCUACAAUAAACGGCCGCGGUAUCUUGACUGUGCAAAGGUAGCAUAAUCAUUUGUUCUUUAAUUGAGGACUUGUAUGAAGGGAAUUUUUGAAACUAGUGCUGUCUCUUAUUUAUUUUUAAAAUUUGCUGUUUAUAUGAAGAAGUAUAUGUGUUUGAAAGGGACAAGAAGACCCUAUUAAGUUUUAUUUAUUUACUUUGUUUUAUUUUUUUUAACUAGAGGUUUUAUAUUAGUAGAUAAAUUUGGUUGGGGCGACUAAAAAGGAUAAUUAUCCUCUUUGUUUUUUUUAACUUUUUUUGUUUAAUUUUGAUCCAAAAAUUUUUGAUUAAUUGAAUUAAUUACUAUAGGGAUAACAGCGUGAUUUUUUUAUAAAGUUCUUAUUGAAAAAAAAGUUUGCGACCUCGAUGUUGACUUAUUAUUUCCUUCUAAGGUGCAGUAGCUGAAAGGGUUAGUCUGUUCG
rnacentral:rRNA from 1 species